UGAACGUUGAGGGGACGGACGUUGUGUAGCUUGAGUUCGCCGUUGAGGAUUACGUGUUUACGAGCGAUUGUCCAUCGCCAACGUCGUCCGUGUCUUCGACUUAGUCGACCAACUGCUCGGGAGCAAUGGGCUGCAUCCUCGGCGCUUGCGGCCGUGACGUCGGCCUUUUUGGCAGUGCUGCCGUCCAAUUCUCAUCCGCUCGGGCGAUUGUCCGCAAACCCUGAAACAGCGGGAACGUCGGGAACGUGCAUCCUUCGCACUAUCUCAUCCCCAACAGCCUUCGGCAGCACGAACAACGCGUCAACGUCAGGCCGCCUCCCAGCUUGGCCGGCGUCAUGAAGGCGGAGCCGCCCAGCAUCAAGGUUACGCCCCGCCACCAGGGUUCCAUCCAGAAAGUCAGACGCGAUUGAGUCUCUGUCCAAGAGCGUGAAGCAGGCUCUAAGCUGUGGUGACGCGGAGAGCAAGUUUGCCGUUCCCGAACCGACGCUAAGCCUGGCUAAAAAGCUGGUCAAGACUGCGGUUGGCGAGAGGACUUCGUUCGGCGACUCCGCGCUGUUGUCCAACCUCACUCUAUGGUCAGACCAGCGUUGGCGUUGGCUGCAGCACUUGCUUGACAAAGUGCUCAGCAAGUGCAGCCGCCACUUACGUUGGCUCCUUGAGCGCGUCUCCUUGUCUUCGCUCGAGAAGCUGGUCGCCGAGCUGACCAUUGCCAAGUCAGCCACUCUCACAAAUCACCGUCAGACUCGCAGGCAUGGCACUGGCAGAUACAGGAGGAUGUGUGCUCUGUUGGCCUGCGGUCGUAAUUUAGUUGCCCGGGACCCGGCCAACGACCAUUAGGGGACUGUCGAGGACCACGGCUGACCCGCGGCCACACACUGGCCGUGCCGUGAUCGAGGAUUAAGAGGCCUGCGAGGUGGCCGGCGACCAACAGGCGGCCACCGAGGGCCGUGGCUGGCCACGGACGGCGUGCGGGACAAGUCAGAGGGCCCCGCUCAGCCAGAUUCUGAUUCCCAGUUUCCGAGGCCGCUUUUCCCAAGUGCAUCGUCACGCGGGCUUGCUAGGAUAUCCGCAAAUUGAAGAAGCUGCAGCCUCCGCCAGCAGCACAUGCAGGUGCAACCUAUGACCCUGCGGCCGCCGCCCGUCGCUGAGAGCGCCUCCGCCUCCCCCGUCAACUCGCUCCUUGACCACAUCCACGCAAGUUCCUUGAAGCGCCGCAACACUCUGAAUU